rnacentral:rRNA from 1 species
GACGAACGCUGGCGGCGUGCCUAAUACAUGCAAGUCGAGCGAAGUUUUUCUGGUGCUUGCACUAGAAAAACUUAGCGGCGAACGGGUGAGUAACACGUAAAGAACCUGCCUCAUAGACUGGGACAACUAUUGGAAACGAUAGCUAAUACCGGAUAACAGCAUUAACUGCAUGGUUGAUGUUUAAAAGUUGGUUUUGCUAACACUAUGAGAUGGCUUUGCGGUGCAUUAGCUAGUUGGUGGGGUAAAGGCCUACCAAGGCGACGAUGCAUAGCCGACCUGAGAGGGUGAUCGGCCACACUGGGACUGAGACACGGCCCAGACUCCUACGGGAGGCAGCAGUAGGGAAUCUUCCGCAAUGGGCGAAAGCCUGACGGAGCAACGCCGCGUGAGUGAAGAAGGAUUUCGGUUCGUAAAGCUCUGUUGUUAGGGAAGAAUGAUUGUGUAGUAACUAUACACAGUAGAGACGGUACCUAACCAGAAAGCCACGGCUAACUACAUG